rfam:Gossypium raimondii Chr05_contig_803, whole genome shotgun sequence.
UAUUAAAAAUUUCAUCCAUUUGUAUUGAUAAAAACUAGCGUGAUUGAUAGAAUGAAUAAACAGUCAUACAUGGCAUGUCACGUGUACUUCAUGCUAAUGUAUAGAGACCAAUUUUUAACCAUAAAAAUUGAUAAAAGUUUUAACA